rnacentral:rRNA from 1 species
AUACGUAGGGAGCGAGCGUUGUCCGGAAUUACUGGGUGUAAAGGGUGCGUAGGCGGGGAAGCAAGUCAGCAGUGAAAUCUAUGGGCUUAACUCAUAACGUGCUGUUGAAACUGUUUUUCUUGAGUGAGUCAGAGGCAGGCGGAAUUCCCGGUGUAGCGGUGGAAUGCUUUGAGGUCGGGAGGAACACCAGUGGCGAAGGCGGCCUGAGGGGUUUUAACGGCCGCUGAGGCACGAAAGGGUGGGGAGCAAACAGGAUUAGAUCCCCUGGUAGACCACGCCGUAAACGAUGAUUACUAGGUGUGUGGGGAGUGACCCCCUACGUGCCGGAGUUAACACAAUAAGUACCCCGCCUGGGGACUACGGUCGCAAGACUGAAACUCAAAUGAAUUGGCGGGG